GUGCUCACUUCGGCAGCACAUAUACUAAAAUUGGAAUGACAGAGAAUAGCAGGGCCCUGGUGCAAAGAUGACACACAAAUUCAUGAAGCGUUCCAUAUUUUU
ensembl:snRNA U6 U6 spliceosomal RNA